rnacentral:rRNA from 1 species
GAUGAACGCUAGCGGCAGGCCUAAUACAUGCAAGUCGAACGGUGCCUUCGGACAUAGUGGCGCACGGGUGCGUAACACGUAUGCAACCUACCUUACAUUGGGGGAUAGCCUUUCGAAGGGGAGAUUAAUACCGCAUAAGACAGUAGCUGGGCAUCCAGCAGCUGUUAAAGAUUUAUCGAUGUAAGCUGGGCAUGCGUCCAAUUAGCUAGUUGGUGAGGUAACGGCUAACCAAGGCAAUGAUUGGUAGGGGAACUGAGAGGUCAAUCCCCCACACUGGCACUGAGAUACGGGCCAGACUCCUACGGGAGGCAGCAGUAGGGAAUAUUGGGCAAUGGACGCAAGUCUGACCCAGCCAUGCCGCGUGCAGGAUGAAGGCGUUAUGCGUUGUAAACUGCUUUUAUACAGGAAGAAACGACUCUUGCGAGAGGCAUUGACGGUACUGUAUGAAUAAGCACCGGCUAACUCCGUGCCAGCCGCCGCCGUAAUAC